GUGUCCCAGUUCUAUGAAGUUAUUACAGAAACUAACCAGAGCCUCCAGGGCUGACAGGCACGUGCCCACUGCUGCCAUGGGCCCCCAACUCUUCAGUUUUGGGGUCUUUUGUCUCCUCGGAGUAUUAGGUUCCAUGGAGGCUAAAGUGACACAGACCCCAAAAUACAUCAUCACGGGCACCGGAAAGAAGUUGACAAUGACCUGCUCUCAGAGCAUGGACCAUGAUGCUAUGUUUUGGUAUCGACAAGACCCAAGGUCGAGUCUAAAGCUGAUCUACUAUUCGAUUAAUGUGAAUAUUAUAAAUGAUGGAGAUGUCCCUGAUGGGUACACAGUCUCUAGAAAAGAGAAAGCUAAUUUCCCCCUGACCCUGGAGUCAACUAACAUCAACCAGACCUCCUUGUAUUUCUGUGCUAGCAGUUAUGGAUGUAAGACUAUCACAUACAUUUAUACAACUCAGAUUUCAUCAACAAUAGUAGCUUUUAGUAUCUAA